AAGUAAUCUAAACGCCAGAGUGCUUGUGAGCGGAAACUAUCGAGAAAUACCAGCACCAUCCUUCACCAUGACGCUUUCCUGACAUGACCCAAAGGUGGAGGAGGUCACCAAGAUCACGUGAUCAGCAGAGGAAGGUCCGGAAAGUGUUGAAAGCAGGGGGGAGUGCCGCCGCCGCCGCCCCGUCACCACCACCACCGCCGCCGCAGCCGCCCUUAUGAUAUGCAGCGUUGUGAGAACUGAGCUUACCGGUGGCAGAAUCCAAAUAGUUUUCCUCGUCCUUCAUCCCAACCUGAUCUGGUUAGCUGUGUCCUCGCUGGCUCCAAACCCCCCAGAGAGAGAGAGAGAAAAGGUGGGGAAGGAGAGAUGGGAAGGAACUACAGGUGUGCUCAGGUCAACAAAUCUCGCCACACCUUGAAUUAACAGGCGUGACUUCCAGAGCACUGGGUGAUGGGCAAGGCUUCGAGCAGCCUUCAUCGUGCCCGCCUCUCAUGCAGCACAGACCACAGCAUCGCCAGGGCUCGUCUCCCAGGGCUAGCAGACGAAGGAAGAGCAG